UACGGAGGGGACUAGCGUUGUCCGGAAUCAUUGGGUGUAAAGGGUGCGUAGGCGGAAGCCUAAGUCGGGGGUGAAAUCUUGCCGCUUAACGGUAAAAUUGCCUUCGAUACUGGGUUUCUUGAGUUCGGAAGAGGUUGGUGGAAUUCGUGGUGUAGCGAUGAAAUGCAUAGAGAUCACGAAGAACACCAGUGGCGAAGGCGGCCAACUGGUCCGAUACUGACGCUGAGGCACGAGAGCGUGGGGAGCGAACAGG
rnacentral:misc_RNA from 1 species